rnacentral:misc_RNA from 1 species
UCCGUCUUGACGACGGCGGUCUCGUGCGACACAUGUAACGCACGAUGAGGGUUGCGCUCGUUCCCGGACUUAACCGAACAUCUCACGACACGAGCUGACGACAACCAUGCAGCACCUGUACCACGCGUUCCCUAAAAGGGCACUUCUGCAUUUCUGCGGAAUUCGCAUGGAUUUCAAGGCCUGGUGAGGUGUUUCGUUUGUCGUCGAAUUGAACCUCAUGUUCCACCGCUUGUGCGGGUCCCCGUCUAUUCCUUUGAGUUUUAGCCUUGCGGCCGUACUUCCCAGGCGGCGCACUUACCGCGUUAGCUACGACACAGAGACGUCAGUGGUCCCUAUGCCUCGUGCGCAUCGUUUACGGCGUGGACUAC